rnacentral:rRNA from 1 species
ACUCAAAGGAAUUGACGGGGGCCCGCACAAGCGGUGGAGCAUGUGGUUCAAUUCGACGCAACGCGAAGAACCUUACCCAGGCUUGAACGGCGAGUGACCAUCGGCGAAAGCCGGUUUCCGCAAGGACACUCGCAGAGGUGCUGCAUGGCUGUCGUCAGCUCGUGUCGUGAGAUGUUGGGUUAAGUCCCGCAACGAGCGCAACCCUUGUCCCCUGUUGCCAUCAAGUGAUGUUGGGCACUCUGGGGAGACUGCCGGUGACAAACCGGAGGAAGGUGGGGAUGACGUCAAGUCAGCAUGGCCUUUAUGUCUGGGGCCACACACGUGCUACAAUGGCCGGUACAAACCGUUGCGAUCCCGCGAGGGGGAGCUAAUCGGAGAAAGCCGGUCUCAGUUCGGAUCGCAGGCUGCAACUCGCCUGCGUGAAGUCGGAAUCGCUAGUAAUCGCAGAUCAGCAGGCUGCGGUGAAUACGUUCCCGGGCCUUGCACACACCGCCCGU